rnacentral:rRNA from 1 species
GGGUUUGAUCCUGGCUCAGAACGAACGCUGGCGGCGUGGAUUAGGCAUGCAAGUCGAACGCGAGAGGCCCUUCGGGGUGGAUCGAGUGGCGAACGGGUGAGUAAUGCAUGAAUACCUACCCCGAUGACCGGGAUAACCAUUCGAAAGGAUGGCUAAUACCGGAUGUGGUCCUCACGGACCAAAGCUGGCCUCUGAAUAUGCUGGCGCAUCGGGAGGGGUUCAUGUGCUCUUAGCUUGUUGGUGAGGUAACGGCUCACCAAGGCGAUGAUGGCUAGCCGGCCUGAGAGGGUGUCCGGCCACACUGGGACUGAGACACUGCCCAGACUCCUACGGGAGGCUGCAGUCGAGAAUCUUCCACCAAUGCGCGAAAGCGUGAUGGAGCGACGCCGCGUGGGCGAUGAAGGCCUUCGGGUUGUAAAGCCCUGUUGGAUGGGCGUAAUCCCCUAGAGUUAAUACCUCUUAGGGUUGAACUCCCAUCGGAGGAAGCACCGGCUAAAUUCGUGCCAGCAGCCGCGGUAAUACGAAUGGUGCAAGCGUUGUUCGGAAUCACUGGGCAUAAAGAGCACGUAGGCGGUCUCGUAAGUCAGCUGUGAAAUCCCCCGGCUCAACCGGGGAACUGCAGCUGAUACUGCGGGACUAGAGUGCGCGAGGGGAGAGCGGAAUUCCUGGUGGAGCGGUGAUAUGCGUAGAUAUCAGGAGGAACGCCGGAGGCGAAAGCGGCUCUCUGGCGCGCAACUGACGCUGAGGUGCGAAAGCUAGGGGAGCGAACAGGAUUAGAUACCCUGGUAGUCCUAGCCGUAAACGAUGGGCACUAAGUGGAGGGGCUCCCAAGGCCUCUCUGCCGGAGCUAAUGUGUUAAGUGCCCCGCCUGGGGAGUAUGGUCGCAAGGCUGAAACUCAAAGGAAUUGACGGGGGCUCACACAAGCGGUGGAGCAUGUUGUUUAAUUCGAAGCAACGCGAAGAACCUUACCUGGGCUUGACAUGUACGUGGUACUGAACCGAAAGGGGAGGGACCCUCCUUGAGGGAGCGUACACAGGUAUUGCAUGGCUGUCGUCAGCUCGUGUCGUGAGAUGUUGGGUUAAGUCCCGUAACGAGCGCAACCCUUGUCCUUAGUUGCCAGCGGGUAAAGCCGGGGACUCUAGGGAGACUGCCGGUGUCAAACCGGAGGAAGGCGGGGAUGACGUCAAGUCAUCAUGGUCCUUACGCCCAGGGCUACAAACGUGCUACAAUGGUCGGUACAAAGAGACGCUAGACCGCGAGGUUCUGCAAAUCUCAAAAAGCCGACCCCAGUUCGGAUUGGAGGCUGCAAUUCGCCUCCAUGAAGUCGGAAUCGCUAGUAAUCGCAGAUCAGCCAUGCUGCGGUGAAUGUGUUCCUGAGCCUUGUACACACCGCCCGUCAAGCCACCCAAAUAGGCCGCACCCGAAGUCGCAGACCCAACCCUCGGGAGGGAUGUGCCGAAGGUGAGGUUUGUGAGGGGGACUAAGUCGUAACAAGGUA